rnacentral:rRNA from 1 species
UGCAGCCGAGCGGUAGAGAUUCUUCGGAAUCUUGAGAGCGGCGUACGGGUGCGGAACACGUGUGCAACCUACCUUUAUCAGGGGGAUAGCCUUUCGAAAGGAAGAUUAAUACCCCAUAAUAUAUUGAAUGGCAUCAUUUAAUAUUGAAAACUCCGGUGGAUAGAGAUGGGCACGCGCAAGAUUAGAUAGUUGGUAGGGUAACGGCCUACCAAGUCAGUGAUCUUUAGGGGGCCUGAGAGGGUGAUCCCCCACACUGGUACUGAGACACGGACCAGACUCCUACGGGAGGCAGCAGUGAGGAAUAUUGGACAAUGGGUGAGAGCCUGAUCCAGCCAUCCCGCGUGAAGGACGACGGCCCUAUGGGUUGUAAACUUCUUUUGUAUAGGGAUAAACCUACUCUCGUGAGAGUAGCUGAAGGUACUAUACGAAUAAGCACCGGCUAACUCCGUGCCAGCAGCCGCGGUAAUACGGAGGGUGCAAGCGUUAUCCGGAUUUAUUGGGUUUAAAGGGUCCGUAGGCGGAUCUGUAAGUCAGUGGUGAAAUCUCAUAGCUUAACUAUGAAACUGCCAUUGAUACUGCAGGUCUUGAGUAAAGUAGAAGUGGCUGGAAUAAGUAGUGUAGCGGUGAAAUGCAUAGAUAUUACUUAGAACACCAAUUGCGAAGGCAGGUCACUAUGUUUUAACUGACGCUGAUGGACGAAAGCGUGGGGAGCGAACAGGAUUAGAUACCCUGGUAGUCCACGCCGUAAACGAUGCUAACUCGUUUUUGGGUUUUCGGAUUCAGAGACUAAGCGAAAGUGAUAAGUUAGCCACCUGGGGAGUACGUUCGCAAGAAUGAAACUCAAAGGAAUUGACGGGGGCCCGCACAAGCGGUGGAUUAUGUGGUUUAAUUCGAUGAUACGCGAGGAACCUUACCAAGGCUUAAAUGGGAAUUGACAGGUUUAGAAAUAGACUUUUCUUCGGACAAUUUUCAAGGUGCUGCAUGGUUGUCGUCAGCUCGUGCCGUGAGGUGUUAGGUUAAGUCCUGCAACGAGCGCAACCCCUGUCACUAGUUGCCAUCAUUCAGUUGGGGACUCUAGUGAGACUGCCUACGCAAGUAGAGAGGAAGGUGGGGAUGACGUCAAAUCAUCACGGCCCUUACGCCUUGGGCCACACACGUAAUACAAUGGCCAGUACAGAGGGCAGCUACCAGGCGACUGGAUGCGAAUCUCGAAAGCUGGUCUCAGUUCGGAUUGGAGUCUGCAACUCGACUCUAUGAAGCUGGAAUCGCUAGUAAUCGCAUAUCAGCCAUGAUGCGGUGAAUACGUUCCCGGGCCUUGUACACACCGCCCGUCAAGCCAUGGAAGUUUGGGGUACCUGAAGUCGGUGACCGUAACAG